UACGAAGGGGGCUAGCGUUGCUCGGAAUCACUGGGCGUAAAGCGCACGUAGGCGGAUCUUUAAGUCAGGGGUGAAAUCCAGGAGCUCAACUCCAGAACUGCCUUUGAUACUGGGGAUCUCGAGUCCGGAAGAGGUGAGUGGAACUCCGAGUGUAGAGGUGAAAUUCGUAGAUAUUCGGAAGAACACCAGUGGCGAAGGCGGCUCACUGGUCCGGUACUGACGCUGAGGUGCGAAAGCGUGGGGAGCAAACAGG
rnacentral:rRNA from 1 species